GCUCCGUAGGUGAACCUGCGGAGGGAUCAUUACAGAGUUCGUGCCCUCGCGGGUAGAUCUCCCACCCUGUGUUAUUGCUACCUUUGUUGCUUUGGCGGGCCGUUAGGCUCCGGCCCGACUACCGGCCCCGGCUGGUAAGCGCCCGCCAGAGGACCCAAAACCCUGAAUAUUAGUGUCGUCUGAGUACUAUAUAAUAGUUAAAACUUUCAACAACGGAUCUCUUGGUUCUG
rnacentral:misc_RNA from 1 species